GCAUUAAUGGGGUAGUGGUAACUUGGGUCGUUGCCAUCGACCCGUCGGGGGUUCGAUUCCCCGUUAAUGCA
rnacentral:tRNA from 1 species